rnacentral:misc_RNA from 1 species
GAUGAAGAACGUAGCGAAAUGCGAUACGUAAUGUGAAUUGCAGAAUUCAGUGAAUCAUCGAAUCUUUGAACGCACAUUGCGCCCGCCAGUAUUCUGGCGGGCAUGCCUGUUCGAGCGUCAUUUCAACCAUCAAGCCCCCGGCUUGUGUUGGGGACCUGCGGCUGCCGCAGGCCCUGAAAAGCAGUGGCGGGCUCGCUGUCACACCGAGCGUAGUAGCAUACAUCUCGCUCUGGGCGUGCCGCGGGUUCCGGCCGUUAAACCACCUUCAUAACCCAAGGUUGACCUCGGAUCAGGUAGGAAGACCCGCUGAACUUAAGCAUAUCAAUAAGCGAAGGA